UUCGAUGGCGUCCUGCAUAAAAAAGUGCAAAACAUAUGUUUAGUGUUGUACCAAAAUUUACAGAUUAGUAAAAUUCUUUUCCGCUCGACUUGGUUCGAAUAAGCACCUCCUUGCACUGGUGCAGUACAUAUAGCAGUAUGGAGGGGGAAGAAAUCAUUUAAGCUUGUCUGGACUACCACUUCUACAAAACAAACAAAAAACAAUCACAUCACAUUCGGUUUUCGUAAACAAAAAGAG
rnacentral:lncRNA from 1 species